rnacentral:rRNA from 2 species
GACGAACCGUGCGAACGUUAUUCGGAAUCACUGGGCUUAAAGCGCGUGUAGGCGGGUCGGAACGUCGGUCGCUGAAAUCCCCCGGCUUAACCGGGGAACGGGCGCCGAAACGGCCGGCCUGGAGGGACGUAGGGGGAACUGGAACUUCCGGUGGAGCGGUGAAAUGCGUUGAGAUCGGAAGGAACGCCCGUGGCGAAAGCGGGUUCCUGGACGUCUGCUGACGCUGAGACGCGAAAGCCAGGGGAGCGAACGGG